rnacentral:rRNA from 1 species
AUGAGUCAUCUUGAUGGCAUCAAUAUCCCCGAUGGCAAGUUCUACCUAGGGGAUGUUGGCAAUGCAUGUCAGCCAGGUGUUCUUCCACCCUUUAGAAAAAUCAGGUACCAUCUGAACGAGUUUUUUGGUAGGAACUAUCCUAGGACUCCUCAGGAACUAUUCAAUCUCAAACACUCCGGCCUUAGAGUAACGGUUGAGAGGGCAUUUGGAGAUCUGAAGAAUAGGUUUAAUAUCAUGGAUCAGGAGCCAUUCCACCCUUACCCUGAAGGAGUCGAGCUUGUUCUUGCAUGUUGCAUCAUUCACAGCUGGAUCCUGCAAUGGGGAAUUGAUGAACUUGUGCCAGAGGAGGAAGAUGUGACUCCUGAUGAGGUGAUCAGCUCCGGCCAUGGUGUGAAGGUGUUUGACAACAAAGCAUGAAAGAACAAAAGGUUGGAGUGGGAUUGA